GAUCACCCUCUGGCCUCCGGCCAUUGGGGUGAUUUUACACUGACACACCGCGUCCUCGUGGGAUAACUAUUAAGUACUGUACCGUGUUUAUUAAAACUAAGUCCAUAAUGGCAUUUCAAUUUGUGCCUGUUGCUUGAUUUUCAUUUUAUCUCUCCUUAAAAAAUAUCUAAAAAUAAAAGUGUGUAUGCCCACCUUGCUAUGAAAAAGUAUUGAUUAUACUUGUUUCGUCACUUUUAUAAUUUUGUAAAGAAUUUUUAGCAUGACAGCUCCGACAGUUUUUAUGAAAUCUCCUGAAAGAUGCUAAUGUCCAACAUCACAACUUUUACUGUGUUAAGGUAAGAAAUGCAGACUAAUUAACAGC
rnacentral:lncRNA from 1 species